AGCAAAGCUCAUCUCUGCCCUGCUGCAGGGAACCCUAUUUCCUUCCCCUGCAGCUCAGCCACCUCCUCCUCUCAGGUCUGCCAGCCAUGAAACUUCUUUACCUGUUUCUUGCCAUCCUUCUGGCCAUAGAAGAACCAGUGAUAUCAGGAUUGCAGUAAGGAUGAAAUGACAUAAUAAUGCAAAGCUCUGGUGAGGACAGUGGGGUGCUGCCUGGAUACUGCCAGGCAAACGCCACAUCCUUCGACGCAUGGGUAACAGUGGAAUUUGUAGGGCCUCUUGCAAAAAGAACGAACAGCCCUACCUCUAUUGCAGAAAUUAUCAGUCCUGCUGCCUCCAGUCCUACAUGAGGAUAAGCAUUUCUGGCAAAGAGGAAAAUACCGACUGGUCUUAUGAGAAGCAGUGGCCAAGACUACCUUGAGUGCUGGUGAUUACCAUUCUCAAGCUCUCUGGGCACAGAGACCUGCUGUCAACCCCCCUCAUUAAAAUUCAUGCGCCUGCUA
rnacentral:sRNA from 1 species